UACGUAGGCAGCGAGCGUUGUUCGGAGUUACUGGGCGUAAAGAGUGCGUAGGCGGUUUUCUAAGUUUGGUGUGAAAUCUCCCGGCUUAACUGGGAGGGUGCGCCGAAGACUGGAAGGCUUGAGUAUGGGAGAGGUAAGCGGAAUUCCUGGUGUAGCGGUGAAAUGCGUAGAUAUCGGGAGGAACAUCAGUGGCGAAGGCGGCUACCUGGCCCAAUACUGACACUCAGGUGCGACAGCGUGGGGAGCAAACAGG
rnacentral:rRNA from 1 species